rnacentral:rRNA from 1 species
AUUGAACGCUGGCGGCAGGCUUAACACAUGAAAGUCGAGCGAGCGGCGGACGGGUGAGUAAUGUCUGGGAAACUGCCUGAUGGAGGGGGAUAACUACUGGAAACGGUAGCUAAUACCGCAUACCAUCAGAUGUGCCCAGAUGGGAGUAUCUUGUAGGUGGGGUAAUGGCGCACCUAGGCGACGAUCCCUAGCUGGUCUGAGAGGAUGACCAGCCACACUGGAAGUGAGACACGGUCCAGACUCCUACGUGAGGCUGCAGUGGGGAAUAUUGCACAAGGGGCGCAAGCCGGAUGCAGCCAUGCCGCGGGUGUGAAGAAGUCCUUCGGGUUUUAAAGCACUUUCAGCGAGGAGGCGUUACUCGCAGAAGAAGCACCGGCUAACUCCGUGCCAGCAGCCGCGGUAAUAC